GGUUAAGUUAACAAGGGCGCAUGGUGAAUGCCUUGGCACUAGGAGCCGAUGAAGGACGGGACUAACACCGAUAUGCUUCGGGGAGCUGUACGUAAGCUAUGAUCCGGAGAUUUCCGAAUGGGGCAACCCAGCAGUUUUAAUCAACUGUUACCACUAGAUGAAUUCAUAGUCUAGUUGGAGGUAAACGCUGUGAACUGAAACAUCUCAUUAGCAGCAGGAAUAUAAAGAAAUUUCGAUUCCCUAAGUAGCGGCGAGCGAACGGGGAACAGCCCAAACCAAAGUGCUUGCACUUUGGGGUUGUAGGACUGAACAUUUGAGUUACCAAAGAACUUGAUAGUCGAAGGAUUUGGGAAAAUCCGCCAUAGAUGGUGAUAGCCCAGUAGAUUAAAUCAAAUUCUCUCAGUUCAGGAUCCUGAGUACGGCGGAACACGUGAAAUUCCGUCGGAAUCCGGGAGGACCAUCUCCCAAGGCUAAAUACUACCUAGUGACCGAUAGUGAACCAGUACCGUGAGGGAAAGGUGAAAAGCACCCCGGGAGGGGAGUGAAAUAGUUCCUGAAACCAUGUGCCUACAAUAAGUCAGAGCGCGUUAAUGCGUGAUGGCGUGCCUUUUGUAGAAUGAACCGGCGAGUUAUGAUCCCGUGCAAGGUUAAGACUAAAAAGUCGGAGCCGUAGCGAAAGCGAGUCUGAAAUGGGCGAUUUGAGUACGAGGUUAUAGACCCGAAACCAGGUGACCUAUCCAUGUCCAGGUUGAAGGUGCGGUAAAACGCACUGGAGGACCGAACCCGUGUAAGUUGAAAAUUGCUGGGAUGAGGUGUGGAUAGCGGUGAAAUUCCAAACGAACUUGGAGAUAGCUGGUUCUCUCCGAAAUAGCUUUAGGGCUAGCCUCGGAAUUAGGAUCAUGGAGGUAGAGCACUAUUUGGACUAGGGGCCCGUCUUGGGUUACUGAAUUCAGAUAAACUCCGAAUGCCAUUGAUUCAUAUCCGGGAGUCAGACGAUGAGUGAUAAGAUCCACCGUCGAAAGGGGAACAGCCCAGACCAUCAGUUAAGGUCCCUAAAUGUAUGCUAAGUGGAAAAGGAUGUGGAGUUGCAUAGACAACUAGGAUGUUGGCUCAGAAGCAGCCACCAUUUAAAGAGUGCGUAAUAGCUCACUAGUCGAGUGAUCCUGCGCCGAAAAUGUACCGGGGCUAAGCAUACUACCGAAACCAUGGAUGCGACCAUUAGGUCGCGUGAUAGGAGAGCGUUCUAAGGGCGGUGAAGCAAGAUCGUGAGGACUUGUGGAGCGCUUAGAAGUGAGAAUGCCGGUAUGAGUAGCGAAAGAUAGGUGAGAAUCCUAUCCACCGAAUGACUAAGGUUUCCUGGGGAAGGCUCGUCCUCCCAGGGUUAGUCGGGACCUAAGUCGAGGCCGAGAGGCGUAGACGAUGGAUAACAGGUUGAGAUUCCUGUACUAGUUAAGUGCGUUUGAGCAAUGGAGGGACGCAGGAGGCUAAGAUGUGCAUUCUGUUGGAUUAGAAUGUCCAAGCAGUAAGUCUUGUGAAGAGUCAAAUGCUUUUCACUUUAAGGACAAGCUGUGAUGGGGAGCGAAAUUUAGUAGCGAAGCGUCUGAUGUCACACUGCCGAGAAAAGCUUCUAGUGAGUACUUAACUACCCGUACCGCAAACCGACACAGGUAGUCGAGGAGAGAAUCCUAAGGUGAGCGAGUGAACUCUCGUUAAGGAACUCGGCAAAAUGACCCCGUAACUUCGGGAGAAGGGGUGCUGAUCGCAAGAUCAGCCGCAGUGAAUAGGCCCAGGCGACUGUUUAUCAAAAACACAGGUCUCUGCAAAAUCGUAAGAUGACGUAUAGGGGCUGACGCCUGCCCGGUGCUGGAAGGUUAAAAGGAUGGGUUAGCUUCGGCGAAGCUCAGAAUUGAAGCCCCAGUAAACGGCGGCCGUAACUAUAACGGUCCUAAGGUAGCGAAAUUCCUUGUCGGGUAAGUUCCGACCCGCACGAAAGGCGUAACGAUCUGGGCACUGUCUCAACGAGAGACUCGGUGAAAUUAUAUUGUCCGUGAAGAUGCGGACUACCCGCGACAGGACGGAAAGACCCCAUGGAGCUUUACUGUAGCUUGAUAUUGAGUGUUUGUACAGCUUGUACAGGAUAGGUAGGAGCCAUAGAAACCGGAACGCUAGUUUCGGUGGAGGCGUUGGUGGGAUACUACCCUCGCUGUAUGACCACUCUAACCCGCACCACUAAUCGUGGUGGGAGACAGUGUCAGGUGGGCAGUUUGACUGGGGCGGUCGCCUCCUAAAAAGUAACGGAGGCGCCCAAAGGUUCCCUCAGAAUGGUUGGAAAUCAUUCGCAGAGUGUAAAGGCACAAGGGAGCUUGACUGCGAGACAGACAGGUCGAGCAGGGACGAAAGUCGGGCUUAGUGAUCCGGUGGUACCGUAUGGAAGGGCCAUCGCUCAACGGAUAAAAGCUACCCUGGGGAUAACAGGCUUAUCUCCCCCAAGAGUCCACAUCGACGGGGAGGUUUGGCACCUCGAUGUCGGCUCAUCGCAUCCUGGGGCUGUAGUCGGUCCCAAGGGUUGGGCUGUUCGCCCAUUAAAGCGGUACGCGAGCUGGGUUCAGAACGUCGUGAGACAGUUCGGUCCCUAUCCGUCGCGGGCGUAGGAAAUUUGAGAGGACCUGUCCUUAGUACGAGAGGACCGGGAUGGACAUACCUCUGGUGUACCAGUUGUGCCGCCAGGCGCAUCGCUGGGUAGCUACGUAUGGAUGUGAUAAACGCUGAAAGCAUCUAAGUGUGAAACACACCUCGAGAUGAGAUUUCCCAUUCCUUUAUGGAAGUAAGACCCCUGAAAGAUGAUCAGGUAGAUAGGUUAGAAGUGGCAGUGCGGUGACGCAUGAAGCGGACUAAUACUAAUCGGUCGAGGACUUAACCAA
rnacentral:rRNA from 2 species